AUUGAACGCUGGCGGCAUGCCUUACACAUGCAAGUCGAACGGUAACAGGUCUUCGGAUGCUGACGAGUGGCGAACGGGUGAGUAAUACAUCGGAACGUGCCCGAGAGUGGGGGAUAACGAGGCGAAAGCUUUGCUAAUACCGCAUACGAUCUCAGGAUGAAGGCAGGGGACCGCAAGGCCUUGCGCUCACGGAGCGGCCGAUGGCAGAGUAGGUAGUUGGUGGGAUAAAAGCUUACCAAGCCGACGAUCUGUAGCUGGUCUGAGGGGACGACCAGCCACACGGGGACUGAGACGCGGCCCAGACUCCUACGGGAGGCAGGAGUGGGGAAUUUUGGACAAUGGGCGCAAGCCUGAUCCAGCCAUGCCGCGUGCAGGAUGAAGGCCUUCGGGUUGUAAACUGCUUUGGUACGGAACGAAAAGACUCUGGUUAAUACCUGGGGUCCAUGACGGUACCGUAAGAAUAAGCACCGGCUAACUACGUGCCAGCCGCCGCGGUAAAAC
rnacentral:rRNA from 1 species